rfam:Medicago truncatula strain A17 chromosome 7, whole genome shotgun sequence.
AUAUAAGCAAAAAUUUCACUUUUUAGAUACAUUCAAUUAAUGAUGUAUGUGGUCUUUAUUAUAUGUCACAUACAUCAUUAAUUGAAUGUAUCUAAAAAGUAGAUUUUUGCUUAUAU